rnacentral:rRNA from 1 species
UACGUAGGCAGCGAGCGUUGUUCGGAAUUACUGGGCGUAAAGAGUGUGUAGGCGGUGCUCUAAGUUCGGUGUGAAAUCUCCUGGCUCAACUGGGAGGGUGCGCCGGAAACUGGAGUGCUUGAGCGUGGGAGAGGAAAGCGGAAUUCCUGGUGUAGCGGUGAAAUGCGCAGAUAUCAGGAGGAACACCGGUGGCGAAGGCGGGUCUCUGGGCCGAAACUGACGCUGAGGAGCGAAAGCGUGGGGAGCAAACAGG